rnacentral:rRNA from 1 species
GAUGAACGCUAGCUACAGGCUUAACACAUGCAAGUCGAGGGGCAGCAUUUCAGUUUGCUUGCAAACUGAAGAUGGCGACCGGCGCACGGGUGAGUAACACGUAUCCAACCUGCCGAUAACUCGGGGAUAGCCUUUCGAAAGAAAGAUUAAUACCGGAUGGCAUAUGAUUAUCGCAUGAUAAUCCUAUUAAAGAAUUUCGGUUAUCGAUGGGGAUGCGUUCCAUUAGUUUGUUGGCGGGGUAACGGCCCACCAAGACCGCGAUGGAUAGGGGUUCUGAGAGGAAGGUCCCCCACAUUGGAACUGAGACACGGUCCAAACUCCUACGGGAGGCAGCAGUGAGGAAUAUUGGUCAAUGGACGAAAGUCUGAACCAGCCAAGUAGCGUGCAGGAUGACGGCCCUCUGGGUUGUAAACUGCUUUUAGUUGGGAAUAAAAAGAGGGACGUGUCCCUUAUUGUAUGUACCAUCAGAAAAAGGACCGGCUAAUUCCGUGCCAGCAGCCGCGGUAAUACGGAAGGUCCAGGCGUUAUCCGGAUUCAUUGGGUUUAAAGGGAGCGCAGGCGGCGGCGUAAGUCAGUUGUGAAAUCGUGCGGCUUAACCGUGCAAUUGCAGUUGAUACUGCGUCGCUUGAGUGCACACAGGGAUGUUGGAAUUCAUGGUGUAGCGGUGAAAUGCUUAGAUAUCAUGAAGAACUCCGAUCGCGAAGGCAUAUGUCCGGAGUGCAACUGACGCUGAGGCUCGAAAGUGUGGGUAUCAAACCAGG